AUGAAGUGUGUUCAAUCGUCCCCAUUUUAUGAGGAGGAUACUGAGGCUUGGAGAAGCUCCCAGCGAAAGCGCAGAGAACCAGAGGACGCCACACUUUCAGACAAAUUUUGGUCGCUCACGGAGCAGAAGAUUCCCAGUGGAGGAGCUGCAUGGGUCGCCAGGGCGACUCUUGUGGCCAGCACAGCGGUUUCGCCGGCACCUCGGCUCGGCAGCACUUGGUGCAGAGUAAACGGGACUGGUUCCCCUUCUGACCGACGUUCAGAGCUCCGGGAAGGCAGAAUCACCUAUUACAGACUCAAGAAGAAAGCCAGACUGGAGAUUCCGGGGCAGAAAAGCACCAUCAGUCUUAAUGCCGCUGUUUUGGCCAGCGCAGUUGGUUGCUCAUAUUUCGGCCCUGGGAAUUAACAACUUGGACAUCCACUCAGAGACCUAAUUUGGAAGUUGGUAAUUACAAAGACCACAGGUGGAUAAAUUUACAAUGAUGGGAAGAAACCAGCAUAAAAAGGCUGAGAAUACUCAAAAUCAGAACGCCUCUCCCUCUAAAGAGGAUCACAGUUCCUCAUCAACAAGGGAACAAGACUUGAUGGAGAACGGGUGCAUUCCAUUAACAGAAUCAGGCUUCAGAAGAUGAAUAAUAAGAAACUUCUGUGAGUUAAAAGACCAUGUUGUAGCCCAAUGUAAAGAAACUAAGAACUUUGAAA
rnacentral:lncRNA from 1 species